rnacentral:rRNA from 1 species
CGUAGGGAGCAAGCGUUGUCCGGAAUCAUUGGGCGUAAAGCGCGCGUAGGCGGCCCUGUAAGUCCGUUGUGAAAGUACAAAGGACUCAACCUUUGAAGCCGAUGGAUACUGCAGGGCUAGAGUCCGGAAGAGGCGAGUGGAAUUCCUGGUGUAGCGGUGGAAUGCGCAGAUAUCAGGAGGAACACCAAUAGCGAAGGCAGCUCGCUGGGACGGUACUGACGCUAAGGCGCGAAAGCGUGGGGAGCGAACAGGAUU